rnacentral:misc_RNA from 1 species
AAGAAAUAGUAGCUUAUUACGUCUUCCAAACAGUAAACUAAUUGCUUAAAAUCCCUACUUGCUUGAAUGACUGUCCUGACAAUCAUUCCACAGAGCAUAAAAACCCUAAAGAAAGCUCAAAGUUUAAAGAAAAUUUUAUUACCUAUUAUAACUCUAAACAAAGAAAACCUGGGGCACAGGUCCAUGAAAUGAUCUUUUAUAACAUUACAGAGUAACAAGGCUUCUUGCUGGCUCUAGUGAGAUGAAACAUGUGCACAAGAUAGGAAUAAUAAGUGCACUGUUUUUGAACAGUAAACCAGAAGAAAUUGAGAUCUGUGCUUUCCAGAAGGAAAAAUCUAGAAGAGGCAGAAAAAGGAAUUCCCUAUGAGAGGAAGUCAUAAGCUUUCUCCAUAAAACGCUAAAGUGCAGGCGGAGAAAUAAAUCAUUGGUUCAAUGUUGUUAUGUCUUAGUCUUACUAAUGCAAGGUUUGAAAUAGUAUGAUGCCUGGAUAUUCAAUCAAAUCAUCCUAAAAAUCACAUCAAUAAAAGAACGAAAACAAGCCCCCACAAUCCAAUUUGAAGAGAUGUCAUUAAGAAAUGAGUGCCCUUCAUGGCACACAAAACAUCCAAAGAUAAGAGAUUCUCAAAAUAAGUCAUAGCAGAGAAAAAGGAAUUAUAUAAAUGAUUUAUUUGAACAAUCUGCAAGGACUCCAAUCAAAGGAAAAGUAAAGGCCUUAUACUAUAUAAUUGCUCAAGACAGCUUGUCAGACCAAGAAUAAAGGGCCUUCUAAGGCUUUUGAGAAGAAGGGAAGAUCUGUUUAGUCUCGUGGUUUUAUGUUCAGGACAGCAUAACUCCACCGGAUAAUUUACUCUUAAUACAUUUAGGGUAUCAUUAUUCUAGCCAGAUAUAUCCACUUCUAUGUUAAAAAUCAGGUAUUAAAAUGUUGAGUUAACCUAGGAUGAACGAGAUCGAAAGUCUAGAGACAACAUAAUCUCAGAAGUUUCCAAGAUAUCUCUGGUUCCUGGAUAUUCCCAAGUGUUGGAAUAUGUUUGUACACUGAGUUCAAAACUAGACAUUGGAAAAUUGGGCAUAAAGUAACAGCCUACUUAUUUUUAACCAAAAUGCAUAAUCAGAUUGAACACCUACAUUAUAGGCAUUAAAUAUCUAUUACUGCAGUUCAGUAGAGAAAAUGAUGCAAUCAUUCAUAUACAAAGACCAGGGCCAUUAGAUAUACAAAGAAGAGUUGCUGCUAAGAACAUGCAUGAUACAGCAGAGACACACCUGAAGCGAGUCAAAGUGAUAGGAGGGAGGAAUUGGUCUAUCUAGAUAGUCAUAGUGCCUUCAUAAUCAUUAACAUUCCAUAAUGUUCCUUUCUUUUUCUAGAACUAUAUUUUCCACUGGUAUAGGUAUUUUAAGAGUAUACCUUAGGCCAAUAAUUAAUGAUAGCUCCAGUGGAUAGUUAUUGCUAGAACAGGCAAUCAGCUUCAAAGAGAAGAGAGAAUUAUUAUUUUUCUCAGGCAUAAUGUUUCUAUCCACGGAUAUAGGACACAGCAUAAAGGAAAGGACAGAUCAAGAAUUUUUAUUACGACCAAAAAGCUUUAUCCAGGGUUAUAUCUCGGCUAAUAGUCUACUAACAUCUAAAGAUCAAUAAGUGAUAUUCAUUACUAUAAGCUUCCCUAUUUUCUGAUUGCAAUCAACGUGACAUAAAGAGUAUCUCAGAACAGGAAAAAUAAAACAAGCAAACUGAAAUCAGAUGGCA